rnacentral:rRNA from 1 species
CCGUGAGGGAAAGUUGAAAAGAACUUUGAAGAGAGAGUUCAAAAGGGCGUGAAACCGCUUAGAAUAAAACGGACGGAGCCGUCAGUGGCCUUCCGGAAUCAGUCGUACGGCGCGCGAUAACGCGUUCGUCCAGAGCGAAAGUCUGGCGGGCGCGUUAGGAAAUAGUAGCGUCCGUUCGAUGCAUUUCCGGAGGGUAUGCGCCACGACCGAUGCGAAAGGCUAGCGAAUCCGGCGAAUUGAGGUGGAAAACCUCUCGGGGUAUUCAGUACCAGUUCGCCGGCCUAUAGUCGCUAGACCGCAGUAUGCAUCGAGCGCGGAAUAUAUCUGGAACACUGGCAAACGUGCUCGCUUAAGCGGUGGAUAGUCGACGGAACGCGCCGUACCUGCUCGCAGGUUAUGCGUAUUCCCGUUCGGCCUUUGAAGUCGCGGGCGAGUUUAGUGUUCCGGCGUCAGUGGCGUCCGAGACGGUCAACCGUCCGACCCGUCUUGAAACACGGACCAAGGAGUCUAACGUACGCGCGAGCUAAUGAGUGGAAAACUCAUAAGCGCAAUAAAAGUAAAAGCCGUCUCCGGCGGCGCGGGGUACGAUCCCGGGGUAUUAACCUACCCAGGGCGCAGUACCGUCCCAUCCUGAUCGCUCGUCGAUAGGGUGGAGACUGAGUGCAUACGUUGGGACCCGAAAGAUGGUGAACUAUGCCUGAGCAGAGCGAAGCCAGAGGAAACUCUGGUGGAGGUUCGUAGCGGUUCUGACGUGCAAAUCGAUCGUC